CUACGGGUGGCAGCAGUGAGGAAUAUUGGUCAAUGGGCGUAAGCCUGAACCAGCCAAGUAGCGUGAAGGAUGACUGCCCUCUGGGUUGUAAACUUCUUUUAUAGGGGAAUAAAGUGCAUCACGUGUGAUGUUUUGUAUGUACCCUACGAAUAAGGACCGGCUAACUCCGUGCCAGCAGCCGCGGUAAUACGGAGGGUCCGAGCGUUAUCCGGAUUUAUUGGGUUUAAAGGGUGCGCAGGCGGGAUGUUAAGUCAGUUGUGAAAGUUGGACGCUCAACGUUCAAAUUGCAAUUGAAACUGGCAUUCUUGAGUGCAGUGGAGGUAAGCGGAAUUCGUGGUGUAGCGGUGAAGUGCUUAGAUAUCACGAAGAACUCCGAUUGCGAGGGCAGCUUGCUAUACUGCAACUGACGCUCAUGCACGAAGGUGUGGGUAUCAAACGGGAUUAGAUACCCCCGUAGUC
rnacentral:rRNA from 1 species